ACUGUCACACAUUCAUCCUUUCUUAGCAGCGGUGCUUUUGGUGCACGUGUUUGUUACAAGUAAUUUCCACAAAUUAACUAAAAAACAUGGAUAAACCCGUAGUUCUCGCCCGUGUAAUCAAAGUUUUGGGAAGAACUGGAUCCCAGGGACAAUGUACCCAAGUAAAAGUUGAAUUUCUUGGGGAACAAAACCGUCAAAUCAUCAGGAACGUUAAGGGACCCGUAAGAGAAGGAGACAUCCUCACCCUCCUAGAAUCUGAACGUGAAGCCAGAAGGUUAAGAUAAUCUUCAAAAGGUGUGAACGAGAGUCUUGACAUUGUUUUUUUUUUAUUUUCAUGUAAUAUAAGUACAUUCUUUAAAUAAAAUGUAGUUUUUGAUUUUGUUGUAUCCUUCCUAUCGUCAAUAAUUGGACGAUAAUUCUAGAGUGCUAUGUAUUAAGAGGAUAAGUCAAAAAUGAAAAUUUUUUAUUAGGACUUUUUUUACCACUGAUGAAGUCUUUUUUACCACUGAUGAAAUAACUAUUACAACUAAAUAUCAAAAUGGUGACAAAAUAUGAUUAAUAAAUUAGUAAUUAACUAUUUUACUUUCUACUUUGGUAAUACCUUAUUAAUUAUAUAAUUUAAAAUAUAGAAGAAUCCUGAAAAAUCUUUUAUGACUUAUACUCUUAGUACAUAGCACGUUAGAAUUAUUGAAAUGAUAUUGAAUGAAAUUAUGAUAAAAUUGAAAUAUCCUUUUCUCAAAUUUUCAAUCACAUUCCACCUUAGACAGAAACCUCUCCUUGUUAAACUCACAGCUCAAAGAUUUUUGGGAAAAUAGUCAACGUAGGGCAUCCAGAAAAUGAAGUUUGACGCUCAUAUUGCAUUCCAGAUUUUUAUAAUUUUCAACCAUGUUGGCUACAAUGUAGUUUGGAGAGUUGUUGGUUCCAACAAAAUCCUUCAAUAGGCCUAAGUCUCUCAUUAAGUAAUUUAGUUCAGCUUGGAUAAACUAUUGAGGUUGAUCUAUAUCAGGAUUAAAUUCGUCUUCAUUGAUUUUUUCAUUUGAACUAAUUUUGUGAAAAAUCUGGGCGUGAUUAUUUAUGAGCUGUAUUCAUAUUAGCUAAGAACACUUAAGUAUAAAAUUGAAACUACCAAAAAGCAUGUUUUUCUGUGUAGUAGAUAUUCAUAUCUGUGUUGAAUUGUUCACUAUUGGAAUCAAAAAGCACGAGUGAGGCUGAACAAAUCAACAAACACCGAGGAAUUUGAAAUUUUAAGAGGGGUGCGACAGGGGUGUAUUUUGUCUCCUGUGCUGUUCAACCUCUAUGUGGAGAAUGUUUUUGCAGAGGCACUGACUGGUAUAAAGGUCAACGGGUACCAGAUAAAUAACAUUUGUUACACCACAAUCAUCACAGAUAACGAACACAAUAUGCAGUUUAUGCUAAAUAAAAUACAUACCGCAGGAAAAACAUAUGGCUUGAGAUAAAUGCAUGGCAAUACGAAAGGGCGCACUUUUAAGACUACAACUGCAAGUAGUCUCCAAUCAAUAAUAAUAUUCAGACACUUGGGAAUGAUGAUGAAUGACCAAUGGGAUCCCCACUAAGAAAUGAAAUGCUGAAUCAAACAAGGAAGACAAGCUUUUAUUAACAUGUUCCGUGCGGAUGUCUGAUCCUAAGACUUAUACUCUGUGAAGACAUAUCGCCUAGUGAGAACAAUAGUGGCGAAACUCGAAAAUUACCGUUUUUGAGUUAAGUCCAUCAAUCGACAUCUAAAUAUGCCCUCUUUUAUGCAAUAGCGGCGAAUAAGCACUUUUGUCUGUGUGGUCGUUUUUGCUUUUGUGUUCUUUUUUAUAGAACUUCUUACAGAGAAACUCAGUUUCAAUCGUUCUUAGGUACUUAGAAAUAGCAAAUCGAGAAAGCGUCUAUCCACUUUGGAUCAGUAUUGUUUAAUUCCACACUAUCGAGAACCAAUAUUCAUUUCUAAAAAGAAGUCUUACAAAAUAAAUCAAUUCCUUAUACCCACAAUCAUUUCUUUAGUAGUUUGAAAUACGAAACAUACGUGAGUGAAAUGAUGAAUUUAAUUUUACUAUUCAUAGUUCUUUUGCUUACUUUUAUCUUUUAUCAUGUUUAUCGUUUUCAUAAUUAUUACUUAAGAUCUUAUUUUGUUAUUUUUCUAUUGUACUUUAGUUUCAUUUUGCGCAUAACUGGUGUGUACAAUAAAAUAUUUUAUUUGA